ACCUGAUGGUGUUCAGCCCCAACUGCCCGCCGCCGCCCGGCCCCGCGCCGAAGGAGACGCCGCACGAGCCGUCCUCUCUGCUGGACACGGUUGGGCAAGCACUACUGGACCCUACUCCACUUGAACUUACAUCCGUUCUUUGCUGUUCUAUUUAUGGGCCUAUUGUGGCAAUUGUAUGAAGAUGUUUGUUUUACGUUUGCAUCUACCGUUUUGUCCAUCCCUGAUCUCCUUAAUUGUUUAUCUGGAACUUCUUUCUGAGGCUUGAUGUUUCGUAUUGGAGUUUUCCUUUGGUGGAAUAAAGUCAUUUGCAUAGAGCUGCCUGUGUUACAAGUCUUCUGCCAAGACUGAUCCUAAUAGUGUGCAACACUGAAGGAGUUCUCGACAUCCCAGGGUCAUUCUGGUAGUGGUGGUCCACCGGGCACUUUCCUCUUCUUUUAAUAACGUGAAGUGUGAUUGUGCUGGUAACAGGUCCGUUUCUUUCCUUCAAUUCUCCUUUGCAAGAGACACAUUUCAGUAUAUUGAUUGUUUCUUCAGCGUUCUGUCUGAGUAUGGUGUGUCUCCAUCUCCAUUAGAUCGUCAGGCAGAGUUGUGAUAGUAGGAAUGUCAGAAAAUAAUUACGGACUUUUUCUGUAUCCUGCUGGUGACCUCAGAGUGUGACAGUGAUGUCCCUUUGGUAUGUUUCUUGUUCAUCAAGUGAAGUGAUGCAAAGCGAUGAAUUAUUGUUCCAAAUGUUGGGAGAGGGGGAUGCCUCGGGGUACUUCUGUAACACCUUUCUCUAGAGUAAGCACUCAAAAUCUUUUCAAUGAAAAUGGGUUGGUUUUUGCUUAAUUUAUUAUUUUUGUCUAUUAAUUAUUGGUGGGACAAGUUUUGGCUGUAACCUGUUAUGACUUCUCAUUGACUUUUGAGGUUCUUAAAGGUGAUUGUGGGUUCUGGAGCUGUUAGCGCACAGGGCUGUGUUUAUUGGAGUUCUCCUCCUGCAGCUGGACACGAGGCUUUCAUUGCUUGUGAUGUUCUGUCCCAGACAGACAUAAGUGCCUCUUUUGAUUUGCUGUGUCACAUUCUUGACUCUACAAAUCCUAUAAGGUGAUGUGUGCUGCAUCUUUAGAUGGGAGUACUGAAUGUCUGGAAGUCACAAGGAAUCGUUCUUGAGGCAACAGUCCAGCAUGUAGUAGUCACCAUCGUUGGCCCUGACUGCGUUAUUAUCAGCUAUAGUUUGUUUUCAAAAAUUCUGUCCUCUUCUUCUUUCAUUGUUCUUUGAAGCAGAUGUGAUGCAAGGGGAUAGUUGUGCCUGGAGAGUUUUCUGAUUGUAGACUCGUGUUUUGGAGGAUGUACUGAACCUCUUUAGAUGUUCCUUUAGUAUUUGCAUCAGUAGCUGUACCUUCACAAAGCACCCGUGCCAUUUUUAAAAUCAGAAGUGAAAAGGGGAUCCUUGGAAACCCACCUAUAGAGUUCAGAUGAAACGUAAGUAUGCCUUACUCAUUAAUAUUAGAAAUUCCUUUGCUUAGCAGUGUGUAGUGUCUUCAUUUGAAUUUGCAGAAGCAUUGCAAAACAUUGAGGGUUAUCUGCAGAAGGUUAGCCAGGCACUGUGCAUAUGACACCAGUUUGUUUGGUGCAGUUGGACUACUAGCUGUGAUUGGUGGGAUGGUUCAGUGAAGGGCAGUGUCAGUGCUGGAUUGAGAAGGGGAGUAGAAGCUGGAAUAGAGGCUGCUUGUCUUCUGUAUCCGUUGUUCAGAGUGGGGUUUGGGUUACCCGGGGCCGUAAGAAAUGGGAGGCCUUCCAGAUCUGGCGGUAGUUCAUUGUGUUGACGUGACUACACUACGCUGUCUUUAGAUGUUCUGAAUAUGUCUCUCUCUCUGGUCAUGAAUCUCUUCUGCUCCUCUUGGCUUUCCUUAGCUGUAUGUAAUUAAUUCUGUGAUGUCUGAGUAAUGGAUCAGCGAGAUCCCAGGAGAGUUCUAUGAUGUCCUGUGUGUUUUGGCUCUUGUGUGUGAGGCUGAAUGUGAGUGAGGUAGACUGCUGAGGGCCU
ensembl:lncRNA